CGGUUGUUAGAAAUUUGGAUUAUCAUCGUUGUCACAGUCGAGAGCAAACGUUGUGCUUUAGGAUCGUUUGAGGAUUUAAGCGAGUUUCUGCGUCUUAAUUCAGACUUAUUUCCAAGAUAGUGGAUAUCGAUCCAUAUUAUUCUUAUGCGACAUUUAUGCACACGUGUGCUUAAGGACUAUUGGAGGUUUUAAGCGAGUUUCUACGCAUGAAACCAAAUUGUACCCUCAUAUAAGCGGAUAUCGAUCCAUAUAUUUACGCUAUAAUAGAUUUGUAUUUGCGAGGUUAGGACACCAUCAAUUGUAAGUAGAUGAUAGUCUCUUCUCUUUACAACAAAAUGUUAAAUAAAUUUAUAGUUUUAGC